AGCAAACAGCUCAGUCGGUAGACGCAUGGGACUCUUGGCCUCAAGGUCCUGGGUUCGAGCCCCACGUGGCGCAA